CUUUAAUUAGAUAGUUUAAUCACUAUAAAAUUUUUCCUAAUGGAACAACCAAAAAUGAUCUAAACUUAUAAUUUCGGUUGGGGUGACCUCGGAGAAUAACAAAUCCUCCGAAUGAUUAUAACUUAGACUUACAAGUCAAAGUAAUAAACCAUAUCUUAUUGACCCAAAUUAUUUUGAGCAACGGACCAAGUUACCCUAGGGAUAACAGCGCAAUCCUAUUUAAGAGUUCAUAUCGACAAUUAGGGUUUACGACCUCGAUGUUGGAUCAGGACAUCCCAAUGGUGCAGAAGCUAUUAAAGGUUCGUUUGUUCAACGAUU
rnacentral:rRNA from 1 species